rnacentral:rRNA from 1 species
GACGAACGCUGGCGGCGUGCCUAAUACAUGCAAGUAGGACGCACAGUUUAUACCGUAGCUUGCUACACCAUAGACUGUGAGUUGCGAACGGGUGAGUAACGCGUAGGUAACCUGCCUAUUAGAGGGGGAUAACUAUUGGAAACGAUAGCUAAUACCGCAUAACAGUAUGUAACACAUGUUAGAUGCUUGAAAGAUGCAAUUGCAUCGCUAGUAGAUGGACCUGCGUUGUAUUAGCUAGUAGGUAGGGUAAAGGCCUACCUAGGCAACGAUACAUAGCCGACCUGAGAGGGUGAUCGGCCACACUGGGACUGAGACACGGCCCAGACUCCUACGGGAGGCAGCAGUAGGGAAUCUUCGGCAAUGGGGGGAACCCUGACCGAGCAACGCCGCGUGAGUGAAGAAGGUUUUCGGAUCGUAAAGCUCUGUUGUUAAGGAAGAACGAGUGUGAGAAUGGAAAGUUCAUGCUGUGACGGUACUUAACCAGAAAGGGACGGCUAACUACGUGCCAGCAGCCGCGGUAAUACGUAGGUCCCGAGCGUUGUCCGGAUUUAUUGGGCGUAAAGCGAGCGCAGGCGGUUAGAAAAGUCUGAAGUGAAAGGCAGUGGCUCAACCAUUGUAGGCUUUGGAAACUGUUUAACUUGAGUGCAGAAGGGGAGAGUGGAAUUCCAUGUGUAGCGGUGAAAUGCGUAGAUAUAUGGAGGAACACCGGUGGCGAAAGCGGCUCCCUGGUCUGUAACUGACGCUGAGGCUCGAAAGCGUGGGGAGCGAACAGG